rnacentral:rRNA from 1 species
AACUAACAAGGAUUCCCCUAGUAACUGCGAGUGAAGCGGGAAAAGCUCAAAUUUAAAAUCUGGUAGUCUCUGGCUGCCCGAGUUGUAAUCUAGAGAAGUGUUAUCCGCGCUGGACCGUGUAUAAGUCUCCUGGAAUGGAGCGUCAUAGAGGGUGAGAAUCCCGUCUUUGACACGGACUACCAGGGCUUUGUGAUGCGCUCUCAAAGAGUCGAGUUGUUUGGGAAUGCAGCUCUAAAUGGGUGGUAAAUUCCAUCUAAAGCUAAAUAUUGGCGAGAGACCGAUAGCGAACAAGUACCGUGAGGGAAAGAUGAAAAGAACUUUGGAAAGAGAGUUAAACAGUACGUGAAAUUGUUGAAAGGGAAACGCUUGAAGUCAGUCGCGUUGGCUUGGAAUCAGCCUUGCUUUUGCUUGGUGUACUUCCUUGUUGACGGGUCAGCAUCAAUUUUGACCGGUGGAAAAAGGCUAGUGGAAUGUGGCAUCUUCGGAUGUGUUAUAGCUGCUAGUUGUAUACAUCGGUUGGGAUUGAGGAACUCAGCACGCCGAAAGGUCGGGGUUCGCCCACGUUCGUGCUUAGGAUGCUGGCAUAAUGGCUUUAAUCGACCCGUCUUGAAACACGGACCAAGGAGUCUAACAUGCCUGCGAGUGUUUGGGUGGAAAACCCGAGCGCGUAAUGAAAGUGAAAGUUGAGAUCCCUGUCGUGGGGAGCAUCGACGCCCGGACCAGACCUUCUGUGACGGAUCCGCGGUAGAGCAUGUAUGUUGGGACCCGAAAGAUGGUGAACUAUGCCUGAAUAGGGUGAAGCCAGAGGAAACUCUGGUGGAGGCUCGUAGCGAUUCUGACGUGCAAAUCGAUCGUCAAAUUUGGGUAUAGGGGCGAAAGACUAAUCG